GAUGAACGCUGGCGGCGCGCCUAACACAUGCAAGUCGAACGGCACCCCUCCUCGGAGGGCAGCGAGUGGCGACCGGCUGAGUAACACGUGGAGAACCUGCCCCCUCCCCCGGGAUAGCCGCCCGAAAGGACGGGUAAUACCGGAUACCCCGGGGUGCCGCAUGGCACCCCGGCUAAAGCCCCGACGGGAGGGGAUGGCUCCGCGGCCCAUCAGGUAGACGGCGGGGUGACGGCCCACCGUGCCGACAACGGGUAGCCGGGUUGAGAGACCGACCGGCCAGAUUGGGACUGAGACACGGCCCAGACUCCUACGGGAGGCAGCAGUGGGGAAUCUUGCGCAAUGGGGGGAACCCUGACGCAGCGACGCCGCGUGCGGGACGGAGGCCUUCGGGUCGUAAACCGCUUUCAGCAGGGAAGAGUCAAGACUGUACCUGCAGAAGAAGCCCCGGCUAACUACGUG
rnacentral:rRNA from 1 species